rnacentral:rRNA from 1 species
CGGCGACGCAGAGCGGAACUUCAAAGACCNGUCUCAGUUCGGAUUGGAGGUCUGCAACCCGACUCCAUGAAGCUGGAUUCGCUAGUAAUCGCGCAUCAGCCACGGCGCGGUGAAUACGUUCCCGGGCCUUGUACACACCGCCCGUCAAGCCAUGGAAGCCGGGAGUGCCUGAAGUGUGCAACCGCAAGGAGCGCCCUAGGUAAAACCGGUGACUGGGGCUAAGUCGUAACAAGGUAGC